GACGAACGCUGGCGGCGUGCCUAACACAUGCAAGUCGAACGAGGUCGCCCCCUUCGGGGGACCGACCGAGUGGCGAACGGGUGAGUAACACGUGAGAAACCCACCCUGGAGACCGGGAUAACCCGGGGAAACCCGAGCUAAUACCGGAUACCCUCACCGGACCUCAUGGUCUGAGGAGGAAAUGGAUUCCGCUCCAGGACGGUCUCGCGGCCUAUCAGCUAGUUGGCGGGGUAACGGCCCACCAAGGCAUCGACGGGUAGCUGGUCUGAGAGGACGAUCAGCCACACUGGGACUGAGACACGGCCCAGACUCCUACGGGAGGCAGCAGUGGGGAAUAUUGCACAAUGGGCGCAAGCCUGAUGCAGCAACGCCGCGUGGGGGAGGAAGGCUCUCGGGUUGUAAACCCCUUUCAGCAGGGACGAAAUUGACGGUACCUGCAGAAGAAGCGCCGGCCAACUACGUGCCAGCCGCCGCAGUAAAAC
rnacentral:rRNA from 1 species